AUUGAACGCUGGCGGCAGGCCUAACACAUGCAAGUCGAACGAGCGGCGGACGGGUGAGUAAUGUCUGGGAAACUGCCUGAUGGAGGGGGAUAACUACUGGAAACGGUAGCUAAUACCGCAUACCCUCUGAUGUGCCCAGAUGGGAUUAGCUUGUGGGUGGGGUAAAGGCUCACCUAGGCGACAAUCUCUAGCUGGUCUGAGAGGAUGACCAGCCACACUGGAACUGAGACACGGGCCAGACUCCUACGAGAGGCAGCAGUGGGGAAGAUUGCACAAGGGGCGCAAGCCUGAUGCAGCCAUGCCGCGUGUAUGAAGAAGGCCUUCGGGUUGUAAAGUACUUUCAGCGGGGAGGCGUUACCCGCAGAAGAAGCACCGGCUAACUCCGGGCCAGCAGCCGCGGUAAUUC
rnacentral:rRNA from 1 species